rnacentral:rRNA from 1 species
GUCGACGAAGCGAUCAGGAGGAAGUUUUCGGAUGGAAUCCGGAUUGACUGAGUGGCGGACGGGUGAGUAACGCGUGGGUAACCUGCCUCAUACAGGGGGAUAACAGUUAGAAAUGACUGCUAAUACCGCAUAAGCGCACAGGGACACAUGUUCCGGUGUGAAAAACUCCGGUGGUAUGAGAUGGACCCGCGUCUGAUUAGCUGGUUGGCGGGGUAACGGCCCACCAAGGCGACGAUCAGUAGCCGACCUGAGAGGGUGACCGGCCACAUUGGGACUGAGACACGGCCCAAACUCCUACGGGAGGCAGCAGUGGGGAAUAUUGCACAAUGGGGGAAACCCUGAUGCAGCAACGCCGCGUGAGUGAAGAAGUAUUUCGGUAUGUAAAGCUCUAUCAGCAGGGAAGAAGAUGACGGUACCUGAGUAAGAAGCCCCGGCUAACUACGUGCCAGCAGCCGCGGUAAUACGUAGGGGGCAAGCGUUAUCCGGAUUUACUGGGUGUAAAGGGAGCGCAGACGGUGAGACAAGUCUGAAGUGAAAGCCCGGGGCUCAACCCCGGGACUGCUUUGGAAACUGCCUGACUGGAGUGCUGGAGAGGCAAGCGGAAUUCCUAGUGUAGCGGUGAAAUGCGUAGAUAUUAGGAAGAACACCAGUGGCGAAGGCGGCUUGCUGGACAGUAACUGACGUUGAGGCUCGAAAGCGUGGGGAGCAAACAGGAUUAGAUACCCUGGUAGUCCACGCCGUANACGAUGAAUGCUA